UCCCAGCGCCACGAGUGGCAUUCACAUUUACUUGGUCUAAAGCAUUCGUAGCCGGAAUUGUGCAUCUUUUGUGAAAUCGAGUUUCUCAAGGAUUCGGAUGGCAGGAGACACGGCAAUUCUAGGGACCGGGAGGAGUCAGAGGUAUGCGUUAGGGAGUGGUUAAAUAUGAUAAUCUAACGUAGACCACCUGUGGCGAAGGCGUCUGACUAGAACGGAUCCGACGGUGAGGAAUGAAGGCUAGGGGAGCGAACCG
rnacentral:rRNA from 1 species